rnacentral:rRNA from 1 species
UGUUGCUUGCAAGGGCGUAUGGUGGAUGCCUUGGCAGACAGGACCGAUGAAGGACGUUUGAGGCUGCGAUAUGCCUCGGGGAGCCGCCAACAGGGCUUUGAUCCGAGGAUUUCCGAAUGGGGGAACCCACCGACCGUCAUGGGUCGGUACCGGCUUCGGCCGGGGGGUACGCAGGGAAGUGAAACAUCUCAGUACCUGCAGGAAAGGAUAUUCCGUGAGUAGUGGCGAGCGAAAGCGGAUGAUGGCCAAACCUUGCGCGUGUGAUACCCGUCGGGGGUUGCGCGCGGGGUGUUGCGGGAUCGCGUGCGCCGGCUCCGACGGGCCGGCCGGCAGUUGCAGAAAACCAUGUGUCAGGGGAACCGGGUUGAAUACCGGGCCGCAGAGGGUGAGGGCCCCGUACCUGAACGCGCAUGGUCUGCCGAUCGCGUCUCCCAAGUAGCACGGGUCCCGUGGAACCCCGUGCGAAUCCGCCCAGACCGUUGGGUAAGCCUGAAUAUUCCUGUCUGACCGAUAGCGAACGAGUACCGUGAGGGAAAGGUGAAAAGUACCCCGGGAGGGGAGUGAAACAGUCUCUGAAACCGUGCGCCUACAAUCCGUCGGAGCCCUUUUGUGGGGUGACGGCGUGCCUAUCGAAAAAUGAGUCUGCGAGUCAGUGGCAUGUGGCGAGCAUAACCCGUGUGGGGUAUGCGUAGCGAAGGCGAGUCUUAAAAGGCGUUUGAGUCGCGUGUCCUGGACCCGAAGCGGGAUGAUCUAGCCCUGAGCAGGUUGAAGCGCGGGUAAGACCGCGUGGAGGACCGAACCCACCUGGGUUGAAAACCGGGGGGAUGACUUGGGGCUAGGGGUGAAAGGCCAAUCAAAUUCCGUGAUAGCUGGUUCUCUCCGAAAUGCAUUUGGGUGCAGCGUCGGGUCAUUACGUCCCGGGGGUAGAGCUACUGGAUGCUUGCGGGCCCGUAUCGGGUACCAACAGCAACCAAACUCCGAAUACCGGUGACGCGUAUCCCGGCAGUGAGUCGGCGGGGGAUAAGCUUCGUCGUCGAAAGGGAAACAGCCCAGACCGUCGUCUAAGGUCCCGAAGCGUGUGCUAAGUGGGAAAGGAUGUGGAGUCGCAUAGACAGCCAGGAGGUUGGCUCAGAAGCAGCCACCCUUGAAAGAGUGCGUAACAGCUCACUGGUCUAGUGGUUCCGCGCCGACAAUGUAGCGGGGCUCAAGCACACCACCGAAGACGCGGCAGUAUUUUGUACUGGGUAGGAGAGCGUCCCAUGAGGGGCGAAGCGGCCGUGUGAACGCGCCGUGGACUUCAUGGGAGUGAGAAUGCAGACAUGAGUAGCGAGAGACGGGUGAAGAUCCCGUCCGCUGGAUGACCAAGGGUUCCAGGGCCACGUUCAUCGUCCCUGGGUGAGUCGGGUCCUAAGGCGA